AAUUAGAUUGAUUAGGAUUACUGAGCUGUGCAUAUGAGAAUCCCCUAAAGGCUUUUCCUUCUCAAGAGAGGUUUCUACAAUAAUUAAACUGUAGCAGGACACUCAAUUGGAACUUUUAAUGGUCACCCCUGCCAACUAACGAGGGAGAAAAGAAAGCAGAAGAUAUAACUUCCAAAAGCAAUGCAAGCAGAAAAACACGUUCUUUAAAAUGAAGAGAUGACCUGGGAAAAGAUAAAAGGAACACUGAUUAUUUAAGUAUUGAAAAGGUUGCUGAAAUCUCCCAUAGCAGGCUUCUUCAACAGUAGCUAAAAUCAGCCAUAUUUUCAUGUUCUUGAUUCUGGAGAAGCAGUAGAAGCACUGACAUAAUGGAAGCUGCUGGCAUCAAGACCAUCUCAGUGAAAACUUCGGACAGCUUUCCAAUCUGAAUGCAGUGCUGUGAUCCAUCUCGGUCACUGGGGUGACUCAUUCUCUCUCAUUUUAUUGAACGUAACAAUAUACCACAGCCAAUUUCAUGUACAGCAGGACUCUGGCAUACAAUCUGGAAUGCUGAGAAUAAAAGUAGACUUCUUUCUGUUAAUUAUCUGCUGAGGAGAAUUACUUAAAUUUUGUUGAAGCACUGUAUGUUUAAGACCUAAUAAAGAAGUGC
rnacentral:lncRNA from 7 species